AACCGCUACCAACCGCAAAAGCUGCGUUUGCGGGUGGUAGCGGGAAAACCAGUCAUACCCUUAAACACCUUGCAAAAGAGAUGGAAGCCAUUCGCAUUCCUCUCGCGUCUUAAUUAUAUUAAAUUUAUUAACCCCAUGCGCCAUGGGGAGCUGAAACGAUUCGCAUUCCUCUCGUCUUGGGUAAUCAACCCUGGAUGCUUAUAAAGUUGUGUAGCUGCACUGUUGAAGUACAUCGUCCGUGUCUGUCUCUCUCUUGGUGCAACUCAGAGGGAUCUGUAGGAGUCACCAUCAAGACCAAUGGGGGAUGACAUCAAGUUCACUUGGGUGAUAAAAAAUUUCUCAUCUUUGGAAUCUAAGAAAAGUUAUUCUGAUCAAGUCGUCGGUAGUGGCUGCAAAUGGAGUCUCAUGGCCUACCCCGGUGAAAAUAGUAAGGCUAGUACACUGUGUCUGGCUAUUUGGGUUAAUGAUGGUCCAAAUGUGCGUUCUGGGUGGAGUGAACACGCAAAACUUUCAUGCACUAUUGUUAAUAAAAAUCCAGAAAAGGUCUCUCAAAUGGAAGAAACAUAUUGCGCGGAACGCACAAAGUGGGGAUUUAGAUUUAUAUCUAUAAUUCCCCUUAGCGAGCUGGAGGACGAAAAUGGUGGGUUUAUUGUUAAUGGAGAAGUCAAGAUUGUUGUGGAGUUAGAGAUUUUUGUGUUGGUAAAACAAACUCUGAAUAAUACAAAGCUGAAUGAUAAAGGUGAUUUGGUAGAUGUCAAUGGGUUUCAAGUUCUUCCUUCACAGGUAAGCUGUGUUCAAACUCAAGAAACGGUAUUAUUUACUUCUCUCUUAAAAAAAAAGUUUUAUCAGUUAAACAGCUCAUAUAAAUGUGAUAAAGUAAUAUCCUUUUCCAAUUGCAGGUAACAUUUGCGAGGCGUAUUUUUGAAAAACACUCUGACGUUGCACUAGUACUCCGUGCAAAGAACAAACAUCUGAGGACAGCAUGCAUGAAUGUCCUACUUUGCCUGAUCGAAACAUUAUGCCUGGGACCUGGGGAGCUUUCCAGUGAAGAUCUGGUGGAAGCAGAUAAUGCACUUGCAUACGUUAAAAAUGCGGGGUUUAAGGUGGAUUGGUUGGAGAAGAAGCUCACGAAAGUGAAGGAAAAUAAGAAGAUGGUGCAUAUUGGUGAGACUCGUAUGCGAGAGUUGGAGGAAGAACUGAAAAACCUUAAGCAAAAGAGCUUGGAGGUCUAAGCUCUGUUGGAGAAAGAAAAGGCAGAUGUGUUGGCCGCAAAAACUCAUCUAACAUUGGACGAUUUUGUCUGACUUGGGUCCUGCUUGUUGUGUUCUGCGUUUCAGUCUCUAGGUCUCUGUCAUAAUGUAAUGCACGCAGUUUGAAUGAAAAGCAAAGUGUUAAUUAAGUUAGCUAUCAAGCUUCUAUGCAGGUCCAUUGUUUAUGGGGUUUACACUUCAUCGAUGAAAACAAAAAUCUUGAUAGCUUAAUAAGCUACUUUCUUUUGAAUCUGUGAAGGUUGUAUGAUCAAAUAAUCCGUUUCACUGAUUCAUAAGCCUUAGACUGUUCCUCCAACUCACCAGAGAAGAGAGUCUUCAAGUCAACACCACAUAGUAGUGACGCCAAGUACAUAAGAUCAAUAACUCGAACAGCAGAAGUGAUACAAGCGACGUAAUGUCUACAUUAUCAGCCAUAGAAAAGUACCUGCGAGCCGUAAGUAGCUCAAUAGAAUGAUUCCAAACCGAGACUCGUAUCUCGCUCGGACUCAAAACCCUAAAUUUGGACAGCUAACGAGAGCAACAGCGUGAUGAUCAAGAAACCGGAGGAACAACUAGUGUCCGGUUAAGAAUUCCCGCCAUUAGGACAGCGUUCGAACUCCGACAGCUGAUUACAUUUUUUUCUGAAUAUCUUAGCCCAUAAUAGGACAGUGGCAUGGGUAGACAUACACAUUUAAUUUUUGUUUUGGUUCGGUUAUUUUAUUCUCGAUUCUUUAUUUCUGUGUAAACUGUUCGAAUUUUUAUAAAAUUUGUUUCGGUUAUGACUUAAUUUGAUUCGAUUCUUUAGAUUCUGAUGUAAAUAUUGGAACCGGUUAAUAUUUUUAAAAAAAAUUGGAGCAAAAUUCAUGUCUGAUUUGAUUUUGGUUCGGUUAAGAUUUUUUGGGUAAUUUGAACAAAUACCAGACAAUUUGGAUUGUUCGAGCAAAAUAUAAGUAAGUAAAAUUGUUAAGAUAAUAUAUCGGGUAAUUCAUAUUAAUUUAUAUAAUUCAAAUAAGAUAUUCGAAUAAUUCAAUUUUUGAUAAUUUAAUUUAUUAGAUUUUUUUUGAAAGUAUAUAUAAUAUUUAAAGUAUAUAAAUUGUAUGUUAGAUAUUCAAAUAGUUUUGAUUCAUUUAGAUAUAUAUAUAAAAGAAAAAAUUACUCUCAUAGACACUUUAUGAGUUUGUAUUAACACAAUUAGACACUUUAUGCUUGACAGACACUUUCUUGUUGUCUAAAGACAAAAAUACCCUAGUGACAACUCAUUAUCUUACACUCUCUCCAUCUCUCUCACGUGCACCCUCUCUCCAUCUCACUCACGAUACUCUCUCUCCAACUCACUCUCAUUCAAAAGCAAGAAAAAAAAACCCUGAAAAUUUAAUUUUCUCAGAUGUCAUCUCAAUUCACAAACCAUAACCUUCCAUUACAUCCUUAAAUUCUCAAAUAUAGACCUUUAGCGAAUUGGAGCUGGAUUUCACUGACAUAACCUUCUUUCUUGGCCUUAACAAGCUUGGCCGGCGGUGACGAGUUGAACGCGACUUCAGAUUUGGAGAGUUCGGUGAGAGCGACGAGCUUUCUGGGCUUGUGGUAGAACCUUAACAAGCUUGGCCGGCGGUGACGAGUUGAACGCGACUUCAGAUCUGGGAUUGUGGUAGAGUCGCUUAGGAGAUGUGAGUUCCUACGAGACUAGUUCCGAUAACAAUGGUGGUGGAUACUGUAAAGAUGGGAGACGUGAGGGUGAGGGAUACAAAAGUGGAGGCCAUGGUAGAGGUGGCGGUGGAUAAAACAAACAUGUUCAAGGUGUAUUUUUAGGAUUGAAUAUCCAUGUCCACACAUAUUUGUUCACCAAAGUGGCUUACACAAAAUACAUGUACAUAAAAACUACACGGUAUGCAUAAAGUACUUGUCCACAGAUACUAAGAAAUUAUGUAAGAUGAUUAGGAAUAUAAGAACUUGUCCAAGAAAACACAUCCAUGAAACUUAGUUCAUGAAACCUCAUCCACGAAAAUUUUAAAGAAAUUUUCUAUAUUUUUUAUCAAUCCAUGUCCACAUCUUUUUAUGUUCA